AACAAACGCUGGCGGCGUGCCUAAUACAUGCAAGUCGAACGGGGAAAGCUUUCGGGUGAGUACUAGUGGCGCACGGGUGAGUAACGCGUGGAUAAUCUGCCUUAGAGUGGGGGAUAACUAGUCGAAAGAUUAGCUAAUACCGCAUAAGACCACAAGAACUGCGGUUCAAGGGGUCAAAGGUUUUUCGCUCUAAGAUGAGUCCGCGUAAGAUUAGCUAGUUGGUGAGGUAAUGGCUCACCAAGGCGACGAUCUUUAACUGGUCUGAGAGGAUGAUCAGCCACACUGGAACUGAGACACGGUCCAGACUCCUACGGGAGGCAGCAGUAGGGAAUAUUGCACAAUGGAGGAAACUCUGAUGCAGCGACGCCGCGUGAGUGAUGAAGGCCUUCGGGUCGUAAAGCUCUGUCGCAAGGGAAUAACACAAUGAAUGUACCUUGCAAGAAAGGAUCGGCUAACUCCGUGCCAGCCGCCGCCGUAAAAC
rnacentral:rRNA from 1 species